GCUUUUGUAGCUCAGGGGUAGAGCACUUCCUUGGUAAGGAAGAGGUCAGGGGUUCAAAUCCCCUCAAAAGCU
rfam:Dyadobacter sp. Leaf189 contig_5, whole genome shotgun sequence.